AUGAACGCUAGCGACAGGCCUAACACAUGCAAGUCGAGGGGCAGCACAAGGAGCAAUCUGAGGUGGCGACCGGCGCACGGGUGAGUAACACGUAUGCAACCUGCCUGUAAGCGGGGAAUAACCCGUUGAAAGACGGACUAAUACCGCAUAAUACUAAAUUACUGCAUGGUAAUUUAUUUAAACAUUUAUGGCUUACAGAUGGGCAUGCGCAUGAUUAGCUAGUUGGAGAGGUAACGGCUCCCCAAGGCAACGAUCAUUAGGGGUUCUGAGAGGAAGGUCCCCCACACUGGUACUGAGACACGGACCAGACUCCUACGGGAGGCAGCAGUGAGGAAUAUUGGUCAAUGGACGGAGAGUCUGAACCAGCCAAGUCGCGUGCAGGAAGAAUUGUCCUAUGGAUUGUAAACUGCUUUUGCAGGGGAAUAAAGUGCAUCACGUGUGAUGUUUUGUAUGUACUCUGCGAAUAAGGAUCGGCUAACUCCGUGCCAGCCGCGGC
rnacentral:rRNA from 1 species